rnacentral:rRNA from 1 species
AUUCUUGGAUCGUCGCAAGACGGACUAAAGCGAAAGCAUUUGCCAAAGGUGUUUUCAUUAAUCAAGAACGAAAGUUAGAGGUUCGAAGGCGAUUAGAUACCGCUGUAGUUCUAACCAUAAAUGAUGCCAGCCAGCGAUCCGCCGAAGUUUCAUAAUCUUAACCCGGUGGGCAGCUCCCGGGAAACCAAAGCUUUCGGGCUCCGGGGGGAGUAUGGUUGCAAAGCUGAAACUUAAAGGAAUUGACGGAAGGGCACCACCAGGAGUGGAGCCUGCGGCUUAAUUCGACUCAACACGGGAAAACUCACCAGGCCCGGACACUGGAAGGAUUGACGGAUUAACAGCUCUUUCUCGAUUCGGUGGGUGGUGGUGCAUGGCCGCUCUUAGUUGGUGGAGCGAUUUGUCAGGUUAAUUCCGGUAACGAACGUAACUCACCGGCGGUAUAUAUAGCCGCACGAGAUUGAGCAAUAGCAGGUCUGUGAUGCCCUUAGAUGUCCUGGGCCGCACGCGCGCUACACUGAAGGGAUCAGCGUGUCCUCCUUGGCCUAACGGCCCGGGUAACCCGAUGAAACCCCUUCGUGAUAGGGAUUGGGGUUUGCAAUUCUCCCCCAUGAACGAGGAAUUCCUAGUAAAAGCGGGUCACCAGCUCGCGUUGAUUGCGUCCCUGCCCUUUGUACACACCGCCCGUCGCUACUACCGAUGGAUGAUUUGGUGAGGUCUUCGGACUGGCGCGCGGAAGCUCGUCUCGGGCGUCCGACGCGUCGGAAAGUUUGACCGAAUUUGAUCAUUUAGAGGA